rnacentral:rRNA from 1 species
UACGGAGGGGGCUAGCGUUGUUCGGAAUUACUGGGCGUAAAGCGCACGUAGGCGGCUUUGCAAGUCGGGUGUGAAAUCCCCAGGCUUAACCUGGGAACUGCAUUCGAGACUGCAUUGCUAGAGUAUGGGAGAGGGAAGUGGAAUUUCCGGUGUAGCGGUGAAAUGCGUAGAUAUCGGAAGGAACAUCAGUGGCGAAAGCGACUUCCUGGACCAAUACUGACGCUCAUGUGCGAAAGCGUGGGGAGCAAACAGG